CAGCAGCCGCGGUAAUACGAGGGGGGCAAGCGUUGUUCGGAAUUAUUGGGCAUAAAGGGUGCGUAGGCGGUUUGACAAGUCUUAUGUGAAAUCUCUGGGCUCAACCCAGAGUCUGCAUGGGAAACUGUCGGGCUUGAGUAUGGGAGAGGUGAGUGGAAUUUCCGGUGUAGCGGUGAAAUGCGUAGAUAUCGGAAGGAACACCUGUGGCGAAAGCGGCUCACUGGACCAUAACUGACGCUGAGGCACGAAAGCUAGGGGAGCAAACAGGAUUAGAUACCCCCGUAGUCCCUGUCUCUUAUAC
rnacentral:rRNA from 1 species